UAAAUUGAGAGUUUGAUCCUGGCUCAGGACGAACGCUGGCGGCGUGCUUAACACAUGCAAGUCGAGCGAGAGAGUUUUCUUCGG
rnacentral:ncRNA from 1 species